rnacentral:rRNA from 1 species
AGUGAACGCUGGCGGUAGGCCUAACACAUGCAAGUCGAACGGCAGCACAGUAAGAGCUUGCUCUUACGGGUGGCGAGUGGCGGACGGGUGAGGAAUACAUCGGAAUCUACUUUUUCGUGGGGGAUAACGUAGGGAAACUUACGCUAAUACCGCAUACGACCUACGGGUGAAAGCAGGGGAUCUUCGGACCUUGCGCGAUUGAAUGAGCCGAUGUCGGAUUAGCUAGUUGGCGGGGUAAAGGCCCACCAAGGCGACGAUCCGUAGCUGGUCUGAGAGGAUGAGCAGCCACACGGGAAAUGAGACACGGUCCAGACUCCUAGGGGAGGCAGGGGUGGGGAAUUUUGGAAAAGGGGGGCAAGCCUGAUCCAGCCAACCCGCGUGGGGAAAGAAGGCCUUGGGGUUGUAAAGCCCUUUUGUUGGGAAAAAAAAGCAGCAGGUUAAUACCCCGCUGUUCUGACGGUACCAAAAGAAAAAGCAGCGGCUAAUUUGGG